rnacentral:rRNA from 1 species
GUCUACAACCAGACCACCCUGAAUGUGACCGGUUUUGUCUGAUCUCAGAAGCUAAGCAGAAUUAUGGCUGGCUGUUGAUUAAAGUACUUGGAUGAGACACUGCCAGGGAAUAGUAGAUGCUGUGGACU